UGGGGAAUAUUGCACAAUGGGGCGAAAGCCUGAUGCAGCAACGCCGCGUGAGCGAAGAAGGUCUUCGGAUUGUAAAGCUCUGUCCCUGGGGAAGAUAGUGACGGUACCCAAGGGGGAAGCCCCGGCUAACUACGUGCCAGCAGCCGCGGUAAUACGUAGGGGGCGAGCGUUGUCCGGAAUUAUUGGGCGUAAAGAGUGCGUAGGUGGUUACCUAAGCAGGGGGUGAAAGGCACUGGCUUAACCCGUGAUGGGAUGGAAACUGGAAAGCUGGAGUAUCGGAGAGGAAAGUGGAAUUCCUAGUGUAGCGGUGAAAUGCGUAGAGAUUAGGAAGAACACCGGUGGCGAAGGCGACUUUCUGGACGACAACUGACGCUGAGGCGCGAAAGCGUGGGGAGCAAACAGGAUUAGAUACCCUGGUAGU
rnacentral:rRNA from 1 species